rnacentral:piRNA from 1 species
UCCCAGGACUAGAAGAUAAAGUGUGAUGGU